UCAGUGAGAAGUUUAUGGUCAGACUGAACAAGAAUGGAGGUCCCAAAAAUCCAGAAAAGGUUGACCGACUGUGUGCUCUCUUUACGGAUCUAAGCAAUAAGGACAUGAAGCGGGACCUGUAUAUUGUUUCCCAAGUCAUCAGAACUGGUCGGAUGCUGCUGAAUGACACUAAGAAGGGUCCUCCUCACGUCCAGUA